AAGAUACUCUGGGCAGAGCUAAUAUGCAUGGAACUUGCAUUUUUGGACCUGACUCCAGAACCCUGGGGAUUUCCACUGCGGCCGUGAACACCCACACUGAGUAUCCUAGGCUGCUCGGAGGUUCCAGGGAACAUGGACAAGUCACCGACUGGGACUCUCUCUGCCCCUGUCCCCUGGGGAGGAAGUGGAGGAAGCCAGUGGCAGCCUGAGGUCCUCCGACAGGGGAAACUCUAACUGUGGUUCCUGAAAGUCCGUGACACGGUUCUUUUUUCUCUCUGACUUGCUCUCCCCUCCCUCUUGCUCAAAAGAAUGACUGGACACUCCUAGAGCCUGCAGUCACCAUCCAGGGGAUUUUUUUCACCACAAAGGGUAAUUCCUGUCUCAUCCCUGCUGUGACUCAGCUGUGACGUUGAACCACACAAGCCAGCGAGAAGGUAAAAUCAUCAGACUGCUGCUCAUCAGAGAGGGUGGCCCGGCCAGCACUCACCUCUUCUCCCAGCACAGACUCCACGGAGCUGGGCCCCUCCCCAGAGGAGCGUGAACAGGGCCCCUCCACCAGCCAGCCUGGGACCCCGAGAUGGCCUCUGGCUCAGCCAGCAGCCCCCGCCCGGCCCCCGAUGAGAACGAGUUCCCCUUUGGGUGCCCCCCCACCGUCUGCCAGGACCCACCAGAGCCCAGGCCCCUCUGCUGCACCGUCUGUCUCUCUGAGAACGUGAGGAAUGGUGAGGAUCGGAUCUGUCCCAAAUGCAAAGGGGAUGACACACCGUCCGAAAGGCCAGGAAGCCUUCUGUCUCAGGAGCAGGAUCACCCCGAGGUGGCUGAGGCUGGAGUUGGGUGUCCCUUUGCAGGUGUUGGCUGCUCCUUCAAGGGGGGCCCAAAGUUCAUGCAGGAGCAUGAGGUCACCUCCCAGGCCAGCCAUCUGAACCUGCUGUUAGGGUUCAUGAAACAGUGGAAGGCCCAGCUGGGCUCUGGCCUGGGGUCUGGGCCCGUGGCCCUGGAGCGGAAUCUGUCAGACCUGCAGCUGCAGGGGGCUGUGGAGGCAGCUGGGGACCUAGAGGUGGACUGCUACCGGGCCCCCUGCUCCGAGAGCCAGGAGGAGCUGGCCCUGCAGCACUUCAUGAAGGAGAAGCUCCUGACUGAGCUGGAGGGGAAGCUGUGCGUGUUUGAGAACAUUGUUGCCGUCCUCAACAAGGAGGUGGAGGCCUCGCACCUGGCCCUGGCCGCCUCCAUCCACCAGAGCCGGCUGGACCGUGAGCACAUCCUGAGCUUGGAACGGAGGGUGGUGGAGCUGCAGCAGACCUUGGCCCAGAAAGACCAGGCCCUGGGCAAGCUGGAGCAGAGCUUCCGCCUCAUGGGAGAGGCCUCCUACGACGGCACCUUCCUAUGGAAGGUCACCAGUGUCACCAGGCGGUGCCAUGAAUCAGCCUGCGGCAGGACCGUCAGCCUCUUCUCCCCAGCUUUCUACACUGCCAAGUACGGAUACAAGUUGUGCCUGCGGCUCUACCUGAAUGGGGACGGGACGGGGAAGAGGACCCACCUGUCCCUCUUCAUCGUGAUCAUGAGAGGGGAGUAUGAUGCUCUGCUGCCGUGGCCUUUCCGGAACAAGGUCACUUUCAUGCUGCUCGACCAGAACAACCGUGAGCACGCCAUCGACGCCUUCCGGCCCGACCUGAACUCAGCAUCCUUCCAGCGGCCCCAGAGUGAAACCAAUGUGGCCAGCGGCUGCCCGCUCUUCUUCCCCCUCAACAAGCUGCAGUCACCCAAGCAUGCCUACGUGAAGGACGACACCAUGUUCCUCAAGUGCAUCGUGGAGACAAACGCUUAGGGCAGGAGGGGCCGAGCAAGCUGCACCCGGGUCCCGAGGGAGCACCCGCUCAGACGGGGGUUCAGCAAGAUGACUGAGGUCCUGCCCUUGGUGCCCAGGAUCCCAAGGCACAGUGAUGGGCCGGGGCUGGCAUGAUGUGAGCCGAGCUGACAGACUGGCCGUGGCUAGCUACCAGCUUAGUGUGGCAGGACCUUGGACUGGGCCCACAGAGGCAGACGGUCCCAAAGGAGGUGCUGCAGGACUGAUUCCCCUGCAUUGACCAUGCAGCACUGGAGCCCUGAGAGCCACCCGGCCCUGAAUGUGGAGAUGGACUCCGGCCAAGGUGGGGAAGGUGUGGGGACCAGGCUGGGGCGUGGAUGGGGAGCUGGAGAUCUGGGACCUCAGCAAAGAAGCUCCAAGGAUGGGAAGACCUCUGCAGGCCGCCAUGGAGAGUGAGCUUGCUCUCGUCCUGCUUGGGAUCAGAACCAGGACCAGGGGGUGGAAGUGACAGGAUGCCAGUGCGAAUUCAGUCUGGCCCAGCCUGGACCGAGUUCCCCAGCACUGGAGGUGAACAAGCAAAACCAGGGGGCUACGCUGUGGGGAGGGCAUCAAAUGGGGAGAGGGGUGGUUUUGAAGACCUUCAUGGUUCCUUCCAACCCAGAGUCUCUGACUCUAGGUCUCCUGGGCCAGAUGAGGCCCAGUGCCGCAGGGGGUCUGGAAACAUUCAGGAGCCCGAUGCCCUCCAGUUUCCUGACUCACCUUCAGUACCGCCAGGUGGGCUGAGCCGACCCGCACGGCACCUGCCACCCUGGGCCCGGCAGUCCGCUUGCCCUCCAUGCAGAGCCACGCGGAGGCCAUGCGUCCUGCACGUCCCCCAGCUGAGCGCCCCUCCACCUCCUCCAGGUGAAACCAGGUCCCUAGCUCCCAGAGGCAGCUGGAAGGAGCCUGGAGAAGGAGAGGGGCACAGACUCUCCACGCUGCCUGCCUGGGGGCCCCACUUUUGGCCAUUUCCAGAAUCCCGUGUCACCCGAUGAACGAAGGCAGCCACAUCUCUAGUUGAUGGAUCAGGACCGCUGAGCCACCUGCAGAUGUUGUCCUUUUAUAUGUAUAAAACCAAAGAAAGAAUUUUUUUUAAUCUCUUUUGCGCUUUUCAUAAAGGGUAUGGUUGUGGGAGUUGGUGGUGACUUGUGAGCUCUGGGUGGUGCUGCCAGUUUUGCAGGUGGCAUCCAAGGCUGGUGUGGUGGCAGGAACAUGCCUCUCUGCCUCAGUCUUCUGUCUGUAAUGGGGGAACCGCCUCAGCCUGCCUCCCUCGCUGAGUUCUGUGACCUCAAAGGAGAUGCUACACAGGAGAGGCUAGAGAGAGAAAGGCCCGGGCACCACUGCCCGCCUGGCCUGGCCUGGAUGUGGCCCAUGCUUGUCUUCUCACCUUGGAGGUCCCUACACAACCAGUUCCUGUAGGGACCCUCGCCCGUCUUUCCAGAGCCCUGAAGCUGCACAUUGCUGCUCAGAGAUGCAGGGCAGGCCCCCCGCUCCUCUCCCCACCAGACUUCCCUGCAGCUUACCCUUGCUCUAUUUGCAGAGGCUGUGAUGGGCUUCACGCCUUGCACCCUCAGGGUUCUCAUCUGUGAAAUGGGUCAGCAGCCCUGCCUGUCCUCUCUAGCCCAGCGUUUGUGAGGAUGAUGCUCACAUAAGAGGUGACGGAGCAGCACGGCCCAGUGGAAUCAGUAUAUCAGAAAACCCAUACCCACCCCUAGUCCAGACCUGGUAUCCCAUCAUGCCUCAGCCUCUUCAUUUACAAACAUGGGGAAGCAUCCUGCCUGGCCCUGCCCAGCUCACAAAGUUUUCACGAGGCCCAAGUAUGAUACCCGAGCCCUAGUGCUUUGUAGUUUAAUGGCAUCCUGCCACACGUGAUAGGCUACAAACGUGUCAGGGCUUCUUUUUCUCGUCCCCCGCUGCUGACAACCUGUCAUGAGGCUGACUUGCUUCCUUGAUGUGUGUAGAAACAAAGGUCUGGCCCAGCAAGUGAUGGGGACAUCUGUCUCAAAGCUGGUGUCCUGGCCAAAAAAAAAAAAAAAAAAAAAUCAUCCCUACUCACUAAGCUAACAAGCGAUUUGUGGGACAAGCACUACUAGGGACAAAUAUCACUGCCCCUUUCAUUGCUUGUAUCUGAUGGGAAAAGACACAUACUCUCUUUAGACGCUGUGAGCUGCAGCCAUUCUUUCGAUUGACGAGGAAUCUUCAGUUCCUUUUGUGUCUUCAGCCAAGAUGACGCCACAUCUUCACGGGAAGCCCUGGGGGGCAGCAGGCCCCUCUGCUCCCAGCCAGAGGGCCUGCCCGUGGGAACCACAGCGCCACCCCGAUGGUGACCAGGAGGGGCACAUGAGCACAGUCAGCAAAGGGAACGUUUGCUGUCACCGGCGGCUCACCAGCCCCCUCGGGGUGUCCACAGAGCAAUACUGUCCAGUUCAGCAGCCGCUGACAUGCGUGGCUGUAAAGUGUGUGUGGCCAGCUGAAUAACGCUCUCCAAAGAUGUCUACACCCUAAUCCUCGGAUCUGUCUUAGUUGCGGCAUGUGGGAUCUUAGCCCCCCG